GGUGUGGCAUAGUGGUUUGAGCAGUGGACUACAACUCUGGAGAUCAGGGUUCAAUUCCCAGCUUGGCCA